rnacentral:ribozyme from 1 species
AGAAAGCAAAGAAGAACAAAAAAGACAAGAAGGACGAAAAAAAGAAGCAAAAAAGAGCCAAGAAAGAUCGUUCUCGAUCUGCUUCGUCAUCUUCCUCUUCAUCUUCCUCAUCUUCUU